CUCCGAGGGAGACUGAAGCAGUUUGACAUGUUAUUGAAUCCUGGUGCAAGAGGUGAGCUCUGGGCCGCCACGCAUCCCAGGAAUGCGGAUGCAGAGCUCUUGGCGCAUAUCUGAAGCUGACAGGGGUUGACAGUCCCCAUCUGGGAACAAUAACCCAAGCUGCACGCCUGGCCCGGGCAGGGGCUGCUCCCUGCACCUCCCCCUUCCACCUCCCCAGCCGUGACUAUAACGUGGUGAGCACAAGAAGGGAGCUUCAUCUCUCUUGCAGUCUCCUGAGUCCUGGGGACCGCUGAGCAGGGCAGCCCAUCGGAUGCUUGCCAUUCCGGGAGCAGUGGGCUGCGACAUGGUCCAUUUCUCCUCUGGGAGACCUGAGUGGAACGCUGCGGGGAGGCAAUUUGGGAUGCCAACUGAUCACCCAGCCGGCUGCGGGUCUCCUCGCUUCAGGGAAGCCAGGGUAGCAACGUGUUUGUGUCACGGUGAAUACCUUGGGCAUUCUUGGUUCUCUUGGGGGGAGGUGCUUCCAUAGUGAAGUUCAAAGCAUCCCCUUGCAAGCUGCCACAUAUCCUAAUCCUCUCUCUGAUCUGGAUUUUGUCCUGUAACUAAACUGAUUACAAGGCUUUGGCUGGCACUUGGGCUAGGCUAUGUCUUUGGGAUAGCCUCCCAUAGGCUUCGCUCCUGAGUGGCUGUGCACCAGCUGAGGGACCUGUGAUGAUGAUGAUAAUGGGGGGCAGGGUUCACAAAGGAGCAAGAAAUCUGGGUCUGUGAUCUCACAGUAGCAUCAGCCUACCUCCCCUUGCUAUGCACUGUGGCAUCUUCCCUAGUCCUUGAAUAGCAUCUCACACCAUACACUAUGCCUUUCCUGAGUUGGCCUUAUCCAACAGCACUGCUCUUAGAUCUGGGGUCCCAUCCUGGUUGGGGCACCUGGAGAUACCCACUCCUAUAUCUUUCAUUUCUGGUCCAAUCCCAGAGUGGCAGCUCCUUCCAAUGCCCAUAUUGUUCCAGCAAUGAGGCUUCUAUCCCAGGACCCAGAAUUCCAUGCCUCUACUGAGCAUCUGCCCAUAAGGUUCAGGCAGAGGGCUUGGAUUUGAAAUCACUGGCCACUCUCAGGGUCAAAGUCUUGGGGUUUGGUCUCUUUUCCUGUCUGGUGCUUUUCCAUGAUACCUCAACGCAUAGUUAGCAAGCCAGAAACUAGUCUCCAUCUUGGCUACUUAGGACCAAGUUCCCUUGCCAUCUUUAUGCUAACCCUGUGUGUAUUUCCUUCUCCCCACGCAAAAUGCCUUCUGCUUUCCUGGGGGAAAGCAACCAUUUCCUUGGGGCCUGCCUGCACCCUGCUCCCCCCAAAUGCCCCCCCCCCCAUCUAUAGUGUAUGCUCUGUACUGGAGCCAGAAUUAUCUUAGAUGUCUUCACAUCUGAGUAAGUUCCACUUGACUUUCAGCUCUCAUCUUGUAGGUCAAGGAGCUGCCAACGAACAGCUUAGGAGCCAUGCUUGGACCACUCUUACCCUUCCACUGUGAACACGCAAUUCCUAUGAUCUCUACCAGACACCGAUGGGGUCUGUCCUAGGGAUGACGACGAGUGAGCAGCAGAUUGGAUGGGCCAGAUGCAGGACUAGUUCUUACUGAAUGAAUAAAGGAUCUGACAGACAGUGUCCCUCUGAGAAUAGAAGCUACAUCUUAAAAUCGGAGACCAAUAGGACACAAGAAGGCUUAGGACCAGAGCAGAUUUGUCCAGGACAGCAACAUGGAGCCCUUACUGCUCCUGAUAUGCGGAGAGUCCCCUCCCCUUUCUCAGAUCCCUCUUGGCACCCCCACACUUGCCUAGUCUUCUCUGCAAAUAGAUGUGGCUACACACGAGAACUUUUGCCCUAGAACUACAGGACUCUACAGGAGAUAAAAGGCAUGGACUGCGUCUGCAUUAUCUCUGCACCACUUUCUUGUUCCCUGGAAUGUCAAAGCACUUCUCUCUUCCUGUGUUGGCACAGCCAGGGCACCCAAUGUCCCCUGCAAGCUGCUCAUGAGCACCUGCCUCCCAUGUUGACAAGAUGUACCCAGUCCUGCACAAUAACUGGUACAGGGAAUUCAAAGCUAAGCAAGCCUCUGCUGGUGCCGCAUGCUCAGACGUUCCUUCUCAGAACCGUGGACAUUUGUGCUUGCUCUGGAGCUUGUUCCCAGGAAAAGUUAAUGAAACAUGAUGGGUUUCUUGAAAUUCUACCCGCAGAUGUCAGCGGCGUAGGGUGUUCAGAGCACUCUGUACAAGUCCUCCUGGGAUCUAGGGUGGUGUAGCUCUUCCUUGGAGAAAAGAACACACGGGGCAGAAGAAGCAAAUGCCACUUCCUCUACUGUAGUCUGCUUCUGACUGUGCCAUCCUGCCUCUCAUUGCGUGACCUUGUCUGUCGUCAGUGGCUGUGGCCUCCUGAAUGGGCUCCUGUAGAUUUGUGCCCCAUCUUCAAGUCAGAGUCAGAAAAGGCAUUGUUCUCACCCAAUGGGUCCUGAGUUCACCCAAGCACCUCAGAGGGCAGGUGAACAGCCUGAGGUCCAGAGAACAUUCUGUAACAAUUUGCAGCAAUAACGGUAACCACAUUCUGUAACAAUUUGCAGCAAUAACAGUAACCACCGUAUCCUUUCUGCGAAAGAACCUUACUUUGUGGCAGACGCUCCCUGUAGCUUACACACUCCAGCUCUUCUACCCCCAGGACAACCUUGUCCACCAUUCCUACCUCUAUGUUGUAAGUGAAGAGACCAAAGCACAUGUGGGUUAUACAUAUGCCCAGAGUCACUGCAGGAUCGUAGCACUCAGAGAGAAUCUUUUUCGAAAGGACAUGCCUUAUCUUUCAUGUCUUUCUGGGAGGGUCUCCUCCUUUCUGCAUGUCAUCA